AGUUUUUCUGAUCUUUGCUGCAGAGGGACAGCGUGGUGCUUCUGAUUAUAGCGCCGUGUUGCCCAGAAGUCUCUGAGUUAUGUUUUAAAACAUACCCUUCUUGACUGCUCUUUGGAGAAAAAAUAGCUCUUUACUAUCAUUAUUUUUUAUUGUAGCCUGAAUUAGGUGACUUAGAUACCUGGCAAGAAAAUACCAAUGCAUGGGAAGAAGAAGAAGAUGCGGCCUGGCAAGCAGAAGAAGUUUUGAGACAGCAGAAAAUAGCAGACAGAGAAAAGAGAGCAGCAGAACAACAGAGAAAGAAAAUGGAAAAGGAAGCACAGCGGCUAAUGAAGAAAGAACAAAACAAAAUUGGUGUGAAACUUUCAUAACAGAUGUUAUUUCUUCUUCACAUGUCAUAGUGCCAGUAGGAGAAACCUGAGCUCCACAACCCAAGCCACAUUUGUAUGGAUUUAAGACUAUUUUCAGUAUACAAACACACUGCUUGAUUUUAAUGCAUUCAUCAGUCAUCCAGGACACCAGGAUUCUGCCAAAGUACCUUGAACUCUUAGUGGGUGAGACU